AUCGCUGUCCGCGAGGACAGAGGAAAGUCCGGACUCCGCAGGGCGGAGGAUCCGCUUGUCAAAGGCGGAAGGCAGGAGGUAAUCUCCUGCGAUGGAAAGUGCCACAGAGAACAGACGUACGAAUGCUCGAGCAACUGAGCCGAAGCGAGCCGAAAGGCGAACGGAGGCGAUGGCGCGAGCACCGAAAACGGUGAAAGGGCGGUGCAAGAGACCACCGGCGGGGCGCGAGAGCGUUCCGCGCAAGGCAAACCCUCCUCGGAGCAAGAUCAAAUAGGGGACCGACCGGCUGCCCGUCGGGUGUCCGUUCCGCAAGGAUCGGGCUAAGGUUCCGGGUUGAUUGCGUUAGAUGAAUGAUCGGAUCCGUCUUCGCCCUCGCGGGCUAGGACGGAGAACAGAAUCUGGCUUAUUCGCCG
rnacentral:RNase_P_RNA from 1 species